rnacentral:lncRNA from 1 species
GCACACAAACGCUUAGAAACGAAGCUAGUCGGCAAUGGUGACCUCUCGGGGUUUAUGAAAGACCGAGGUGCUCUUUGAGACAGGAACUUUGCUGAGCUCUUUACCUAAAACACAGAUAAUGCUAUCCCACUUUCUGGAUGAGAAUGUUGAGUCUCAGAGGAGCAGAUAAUCACCCAAGGGCAUAAGAUGGGUAAGCGGAGACUCAAAAGAGGUGAAUUCCUUCUGCUCCCUCUCACGGACAUCGUUAAGAGUCACAGUCAGGAUUCGAACCCAUGUCGUUGGCUCCAGGAAGUGUGGCUGUGGAAGUGUGGCCCUCAGGAUUAGAUGGUUUAGAAAGAAAUAAUUACUUUUCUUGUGUCACAGUCAGGAUUCGAACCCAUGUCGUUGGCUCCAGAAAGUGUGGCUGUGGAAGUGUGGCCCUCAGGAUUAGAUGGUUUGGAAAGAAAU